GACGAACGCUGGCGGCGUGCCUAACACAUGCAAGUCGAGCGGAGGAUUUGGCCUUCGGGUUGAAUCUUUAGCAGCGAACGGGUGAGUAACGCGUGGGGAAUCUGCCUUUGAGCGGGGGACAACAUUUGGAAACGAAUGCUAAUACCGCAUAAAAACUUUAAACACAAGUUUUAAGUUUGAAAGAUGCAAUUGCAUCACUCAAAGAUGAUCCCGCGUUGUAUUAGCUAGUUGGUGAGGUAAAGGCUCACCAAGGCGAUGAUACAUAGCCGACCUGAGAGGGUGAUCGGCCACAUUGGGACUGAGACACGGCCCAAACUCCUACGGGAGGCAGCAGUAGGGAAUCUUCGGCAAUGGACGAAAGUCUGACCGAGCAACGCCGCGUGAGUGAAGAAGGUUUUCGGAUCGUAAAACUCUGUUGGUAGAGAAGAACGUUGGUGAGAGUGGAAAGCUCAUCAAGUGACGGUAACUACCCAGAAAGGGACGGCUAACUACGUGCCAGCCGCCGCCGUAA
rnacentral:rRNA from 1 species